GACGAACGCUGGCGGCGUGCUUAACACAUGCAAGUCGAACGGAAAGGCCCUGCUUUUGUGGGGUGCUCGAGUGGCGAACGGGUGAGUAACACGUGAGUAACCUGCGCUUGACUUUGGGAUAACUUCAGGAAACUGGGGCUAAUACCGGAUAGGAGCUCCUGCUGCAUGGUGGGGGUUGGAAAGUUUCGGCGGUUGGGGAUGGACUCGCGGCUUAUCAGCUUGUUGGUGGGGUAGUGGCUUACCAAGGCUUUGACGGGUAGCCGGCCUGAGAGGGUGACCGGCCACAUUGGGACUGAGAUACGGCCCAGACUCCUACGGGAGGCAGCAGUGGGGAAUAUGGCACAAUGGGCGGAAGCCUGAUGCAGCAACGCCGCGUGCGGGAUGACGGCCUUCGGGUUGUAAACCGCUUUCGCCUGUGACGAAGCGUGAGUGACGGUAAUGGGUAAAGAAGCACCGGCUAACUACGUG
rnacentral:rRNA from 1 species